rnacentral:rRNA from 1 species
AGAAGGCCUUCGGGUUGUAAAGCUCUUUUGUCAGGGAAGAAACGGCGGGGGCUAAUAUCCCUUGCUAAUGACGGUACCUGAAGAAUAAGCACCGGCUAACUACGUGCCAGCAGCCGCGGUAAUACGUAGGGUGCAAGCGUUAAUCGGAAUUACUGGGCGUAAAGCGUGCGCAGGCGGUUGUGCAAGACCGAUGUGAAAUCCCCGGGCUUAACCUGGGAAUGGCAUUGGUGACUGCACGGCUAGAGUGUGUCAGAGGGGGGUAGAAUUCCACGUGUAGCAGUGAAAUGCGUAGAGAUGUGGAGGAAUACCGAUGGCGAAGGCAGCCCCCUGGGAUAACACUGACGCUCAUGCACGAAAGCGUGGGGAGCAAACAGGAUUAGAUACCCUGGUAGUCCACGCCCUAAACGAUGUCAACUAGUUGUCGGGUCUUAAUUGACUUGGUAACGCAGCUAACGCGUGAAGUUGACCGCCUGGGGAGUACGGUCGCAAGAUUAAAACUCAAAUGAAUUGACGGGGGCCCGCACAAGCGGUGGAUUAUGUGGAUUAA